UACGAAGGGGGCUAGCGUUGCUCGGAAUCACUGGGCGUAAAGCGCACGUAGGCGGGUUGCUAAGUCAGGGGUGAAAUCCUGGAGCUCAACUCCAGAACUGCCUUUGAUACUGGCGGCCUUGAGUCCGGGAGAGGUGAGUGGAACUGCGAGUGUAGAGGUGAAAUUCGUAGAUAUUCGCAAGAACACCAGUGGCGAAGGCGGCUCACUGGCCCGGUACUGACGCUGAGGUGCGGAAAGCGUGGGGAGCAAACAGGG
rnacentral:rRNA from 1 species